rnacentral:rRNA from 1 species
UACGUAGGGUGCGAGCGUUAAUCGGAAUUACUGGGCGUAAAGCGUGCGCAGGCGGUUGUGUAAGACAGAUGUGAAAUCCCCGGGCUCAACCUGGGAACUGCAUUUGUGACUGCACAGCUGGAGUGCGGCAGAGGGGAUGGAAUUCCGCGUGUAGCAGUGAAAUGCGUAGAUAUGCGGAGGAACACCGAUGGCGAAGGCGAUCCCCUGGGCCUGCACUGACGCUCAUGCACGAAGCGUGGGAGCAACAGG